GUGAGGUUGUAUUUCACGCAACGAUUUACCCAAAUGCCGAUCAGGAACUAAACCCAAUGCAGCUACCUGUAAACAUAAAAAAUUAAAAUGUCACAUGCGUUUUAUUUAAGAGUUAUGAGUUUUGUUUCAAGUACUUCAGAUAUAAUAAUUUUUGGUUACACAAAUCUCAAAUGCCAAAGGCAGAGAUACUCAGAGAUACUCUUGUUUAAAACCACUUCUCAUAUUGCAUUAAGAAGUUGUUAAUCAAAACAUAGACAAAGGGUGCUAUAUUCAUAUAUAUUGCAUGUAAGAGAGUUCACCUUUAUUAUAAUGGCAUGUACUUGGCAAUCAAUCAUUUCCUGCAGCAAUUCAGUCUGGUCUCUCCUCCAUAAAUACGCCAGUGAUACCAAGUUUAGGCGACUACAAACAUUUUCGACUCUUACCCUUUGGUAGUCAGAGAGAAUGGCUCCAACAGCAACUGCUUCAAUUUGCAAUUCAUUCUAAAAUUAUAUGAACAUUUUUUAUAUAUUAGGAAUACGAAUAUUUAAAUAAAUAUUUUUAUUGCAAUAAA